GUGACACUCCCACAGGCAGCUCCUCAUAUCUCUUUAACUACAUGAGACUCUGGCAGUUUGGGUCAGAACAUGGAGAUCAUCAUUAAACAAGGCCUCCUCAGAUUGUCAGUCUUUCUGCUGUGGACUCCAGGUUUUAUUACUGGGAGUGAUGUCACCCAGGACGACAUACUGUGGAAAAAAGAGGGUGAAAAUGCAACAAUACACUGCAGACACACCAAGGGUGAUUUUUUCUAUGAGAUGUACUGGUACAGACAGCUGCCUGGAGAAAACAUGAAGCUAAUUGUGUUCACAACAACAGCAAAAAAAAAUCAUGACUUUGGAAACUUCAGCCAAGAGAAAUUCUCAGCCACCAAGCCUGAUGCUCAGACUGGGACGUUCACAGUGAAGAAUCUGGUUCCAAAAGAUAAAGAAGACGGGGUUAAAGUCAAAGCACCAACAGUGAAAGUGAUUCCACCUUCAAAAAAGGAGUGUCGAAGCAAGAAAGACAAGAGCAGAAAGAAGACCUUGCUUUGCGUGGCCGAGGAGUUCUACCCAGACCAUGUUACUGUGUACUGGGAGAUUGACGGGAAGUCGGUCACCAAAGGUGUGGCAACUGACAACGCUGCCCGGCGGGAUCGCGACUACUACAAAAUCACCAGCAGGCUGAGAGUCCCUGCCGACGACUGGUUCAAACCCAAGAGUAAUUUCACAUGCACUGUCGAGUUCUUCAAUGGGAGUAAAAAUCAGAAUAUUUCAUCUCAUAUUAAUGGUGAAGAAGAAGAUGAAAUUGUCCUCCUCACCAGAGAGAAAUAUCUGAGGGCCACACACAGUGCCAAACUCUCAUAUGGCGUUUUUAUCAUCAAGAGCAGCAUCUAUGGAGCCUUUGUAGUGUUCUUGGUGUGGAAACUUCAGGGUUCAGCUGGAAAGCAGAAGAACUGAGAGCUGAGCUGAGGCAAAUGAACUCUGGGAGAUGGAUUAUCUUGAUUUCUGUAAAUAAAGUUGAAAACGCAGUAGUUAUAUUUCCAUAGAGCUGUAUGUUACUGAGCGUCUGCACUUAUAUCAGUGAGCCAUUCAAAGCCUAGAUGGACAGUUCUGUACUUAUCCUUGUUACAGUGUUGAAGCUAUUACUCAUGGCAUGCAAAUACAGUAGGAUUUUAUAGAUACUUAAUAAUUUUAUGUGUUGGUUUGUGGCGGGGCAGUGCUUGUAUGCUUCAUUUUCUUCUCAAUAAAAGUAUUUCUGCAAAUGUU